rnacentral:rRNA from 1 species
GUAAUACCGGAUGCUCCGCUCCAUCGCAUGGUGGGGUGGGAAAUGCUUUUGCGGCAUGGGAUGGGGUCGCGUCCUAUCAGCUUGUUGGCGGGGUGAUGGCCCACCAAGGCGUUGACGGGUAGCCGGCCUGAGAGGGUGACCGGCCACAUUGGGACUGAGAUACGGCCCAGACUCCUACGGGAGGCAGCAGUGGGGAAUAUUGCACAAUGGGCGCAAGCCUGAUGCAGCGACGCCGCGUGCGGGAUGGAGGCCUUCGGGUUGUAAACCGCUUUUGUUCAAGGGCAAGGCACGGUUUCGGCCGUGUUGAGUGGAUUGUUCGAAUAAGCACCGGCUAACUACGUGCCAGCAGCCGCGGUAAUACGUAGGGUGCGAGCGUUAUCCGGAUUUAUUGGGCGUAAAGGGCUCGUAGGCGGUUCGUCGCGUCCGGUGUGAAAGUCCAUCGCCUAACGGUGGAUCUGCGCCGGGUACGGGCGGGCUGGAGUGCGGUAGGGGAGACUGGAAUUCCCGGUGUAACGGUGGAAUGUGUAGAUAUCGAAAAAAAAACCA